rnacentral:lncRNA from 1 species
GUCCGAGCUCAUCCACCUCUGAGCCUCCCGAUAGUUCAUUUAAAGUCCCCUGCCCUCAGCGUGGUGGUUUCCACCAAAAUGAAUCUUUUCAAUUUGGACCGUUUUCGCUUUGAGAAAAGGAGUAAGAUUGAGGAAGCUCCCGAAGCAACCCCCCAGCCCUCCUAGCCCGGCCCUUCUUCACCAGUUUUUCUUAGUGCUGAAGAGGAGAAUGCUGAAGGGGAAGUUAGCAGGGCAAACACCCCUGAUUCAGAUAUAACUGAAAAAAACAGAAGAUUCUAAUGUUCCAGACACUCCAGAUAAUGAAAGGAAAGCAAGUAUAUUGUAUUGCAAGAAUCAAAGAGGAAUACAGUAUAUUGAUUUGUCUUCUGAUAGUGAAGAUGUUGUUUCCCCAAAUUGCUCCAGUACCAUUCAAGAGAAAAAAUUCAACAAAGACACAGUGUACGCUGCCUGAUAGAUCCAUUGUAUGUGCAUAUGUAAGAGAUGUAAGAGAUUUUUUAAGGAAAAGAUAAUUAAUUUGAAAUAUUUUGGUGUAUUCCUGCCUCCCCCCUUUUUUUGACCUUUCUCCACUAUAUCUUUGCUAUUUUCCCCAAACUUACAGAUACUGAGUGGUAUAGUAUAUGUUUUUGUUUUCUGGAUCAUUUCUGGGAAAUGAUCCUUUCAGUAAAAGAUUUAGCAAGACCUAACUUGAUACUUUUAAUUCUCUAUGGAUAGGGAAAUUAUUUUAAUGAGUACUAAUGCUUUAUGAAUUUUUCUUUUGUUUUGUGGUGCUGGGGGUGGAACUCAGGUCCUUGCUCACUGUACCACUGAAGUACAUUUCCAGCCUUAUGGUUUGUUCUUCAAUCUAUGGAUUGAACUUUAACAUAUUUAUUAUGUGCAUUCUAUGAGCUAGGUACUAUUUUGUGGUUAAGAAUACAGUAAUGAACAAACCAGCCCCAAACCCCUUCCCUCUUGAAGUUUAUAUUAUACUCAGAAAGAUAAAUAAAACAUAGUAUGUCAAAAAAUAAAUAUGAAUAACAAAAGGGAAAAAAAUAAAUACUACAAUAUAAUAUCUUGUAGUCAUAUGGUUAAUCACCUCAAUCAAUGUUUUAUUUCAAAAUGAAACCUAGACUCCUU